rnacentral:rRNA from 1 species
AUUGAAUGCUGGCGGCAUGCCUUACACAUGCAAGUCGAACGGUAACAGGUCUUCGGAUGCUGACGAGUGGCGAACGGGUGAGUAAUACAUCGGAACGUGCCUAGUAGUGGGGGAUAACUACUCGAAAGAGUGGCUAAUACCGCAUGAGAUCUACGGAUGAAAGCAGGGGAUCGCAAGACCUUGUGCUACCAGAGCGGCCGAUGGCAGAUUAGGUAGUUGGUGGGAUAAAAGCUUACCAAGCCGACGAUCUGUAGCUGGUCUGAGAGGACGAUCAGCCACACUGGGACUGAGACACGGCCCAGACUCCUACGGGAGGCAGCAGUGGGGAAUUUUGGACAAUGGGCGUAAGCCUGAUCCAGCAAUGCCGCGUGCAGGAUGAAGGCCUUCGGGUUGUAAACUGCUUUUGUACGGAACGAAAAGCCCUGGGUUAAUACCCUGGGGUCAUGACGGUACCGUAAGAAUAAGCACCGGCUAACUACGUGCCAGCCGCCGCCGUAA